rnacentral:misc_RNA from 1 species
GGGAGAUCCAUAUUUUCAAUUUAUACACAUGAAUAGUACAUUAUCAAAGUUUUUCAAUGGUAUUUCUAACUUUUCACGAAAGGCAAGCAAUUUAGCCUGCAAAAUUCAACCACACCAGUCUUUGAAACCUGCUCUGCAAGUAAAAGGUCAGGUCAGGUCAGCUACUCUCUACUUCUCUAGCUAUCUAACCAAGCUUUUUUGAAGACAAAUAGAAAGCAUUAAAGAAUUCUUUGGUUUUAAGGCUGCAGCAUGUACAAGAAAAUGCCACCCGCAACAGCUACAUUAAGAGACUCAUAGUUUCUUGCCAUGGGUAUGCUCACAAGCUCGCAUUCUUGUAGAGACUGCUCUGAAAGGCCAUGCCCUUCACUGCCCAAAACCAAGCAUAAUGGAACAUCAGCUAAAGAAUCUGCAAGCCCUUGAGAUAACUGCGACACUGGUUUCAGUUCAUCAUUACUUGCUGGGUGGCCAGCAAGCAAUUUCAUUUGGAAUUCAUGUUUGAGAGCUUCAAGGUGUUGCCAACUGCCUGCAACUAUAGGGACCUGAAAGGAGGCUCCUCGACUAGCUUUGAGUGCUUUGUCAUUGAAUGGAUCACAACAGCCGGGAAGUAGGAAAAUACCACCCCAUCUAAAUGCCACAGCUGAUCUGAGCAAUGUUCCCAGGUUACCUGGAUCCUGGAUCCCCUCGAGGACUAGAAUUCGAUGUGGAGCUGGGAACCAUUUCCGACAAUCUGCAUCUUUUUGAUGAUUACCUACAACAAAGUAGCUCGUAGGAAAUCGCAUCAGGGCAAUUGCUUCAAUAGAUUCAGUAGAUUGCAACUGUGAAAGUUUUUUCAUCACCAAAGCGCUCACACGCAAAGUGGGAGUAGAGUUGUUGAAUCCUUCAGGGAUCUUAGCCUUAUCAAGAAGAAUUAGACACUCCAUUUCAACAGUCCUCUCUUCUGAUGACUUCUGAAAUUCGUAUAUCUCCCUGAUAGGGGUAGUACCUACAACAAGAGCUGAACCAUGGAAGUGGCGAUAAGAGGAGCUGUGACGGAGCUUGACGCAGUGCUUCACAAACGGAUUUGAAGUACUUGUUAUGGAUUUUACAUGGGCUGGUAAUGUAAACUUCACCUCUGCGGAAUUAUCGAUAUCCCCAUCACUAUUGUAAUAACGAUAUUGAGAGAUUUUUUGGGUUUGGGUUUGAGGUUGAUUUGGUGAAGCAGUGGAUAGCCUGGGCUUUGAAUUAGAGCGGUUCAGAUGUGGAGGAGAAACUGCAGGAGCCCUGUAUGCGUAUGUGCUCUGCAUUUCUUCUUCUUUUGUCCCACAAGUCUAUGAAUAAUCACAUCACAGGUAGAACUAGAUAGUUUUCGCCACUGGGGUUCCGUAAGGAUCUCUAGAAGGAUAUUUUUGCGUUGCUUCUG